GGGGCCGACUGGUUUCGACCGGACAUGUGAAGCGCAGUGUGGCGCGUCGCGGCGCACGCUGGCCGCGUUAACAAGCGUGCACACUUGAUAACUGCCAACCCGCAGUUUGCUCUCGCAGCCUGAUUACCAGGCAGCGCAUCGCUCGCCCGACGCCCGAUGGGGCGGGCGAUGAAGACAUCGGGCUACUUGCCGACGCGGCGCCUUCAGGCGUCGGCGGGGAAACAACUCUGGAGGCUGGGCCGAGGACUCCCUGUCGCCGGGGCAGCCGAGGCCGAGAAUUAAACAGCGACUACACGCGUAGAGGCAUUGCGCUGACUGUCUCGGGACGGGGGUUCGAAUCCCCCCGGCUCCAUUU
rnacentral:tmRNA from 1 species